AUUGAACGCUGGCGGCAUGCCUUACACAUGCAAGUCGAACGGUAACAGGUUAAGCUGACGAGUGGCGAACGGGUGAAUAAUGUAUCGGAACGUGCCCAGUCGUGGGGGAUAACUGCUCGAAAGAGCAGCUAACACCGCAUACGACCUGAGGGUGAAAGCGGGGGAUCGCAAGACCUCGCGCGAUUGGAGCGGCCGAUAUCAGAUUAGGUAGUUGGUGGGGUAAAGGCCUACCAAGCCUACGAUCUGUAGCUGGUCUGAGAGGACGACCAGCCACACUGGGACUGAGACACGGCCCAGACUCCUACGGGAGGCAGCAGUGGGGAAUUUUGGACAAUGGACGCAAGUCUGAUCCAGCCAUGCCGCGUGCGGGAAGAAGGCCUUCGGGUUGUAAACCGCUUUUGUCAGGGAAGAAAAGGUUCUGGCUAAUACCCGGGACUCAUGACGGUACCUGAAGAAUAAGCACCGGCUAACUACGUGCCAGCCGCCGCCGUAAGAC
rnacentral:rRNA from 1 species